UACGGGGGGGGCAAGCGUUGUUCGGAAUUACUGGGCGUAAAGGGCUCGUAGGUGGCCAACUAAGUCACACGUGAAAUCCCUCGGCUUAACCGGGGAACUGCGUUUGAUACUGGAUGGCUUGAGUUUGGGAGAGGGAUGCGGAAUUCCAGGUGUAGCGGUGAAAUGCGUAGAUAUCUGGAGGAACACCGGUGGCGAAGGCGGCAUCCUGGACCAAUACUGACGCUGAGGAGCGAAAGCCAGGGGAGCAAACAGG
rnacentral:rRNA from 1 species